rnacentral:rRNA from 1 species
GACUACUGGGGUAUCUAAUCCCGUUUGCUCCCCUAGCUUUCGCGUCUCAGUGUCAGAAAAUGUCCAGGAAGCCGCCUUCGCCACUGGUGUUCCUACCGAUAUCUACGCAUUUCACCGCUACACCGGUAGUUCCGCUUCCCUCUACAUUUCUCGAGUCUUGCAGUAUCAAAUGCGAACCCGGGUUGAGCCCGGGGCUUUAACAUUUGACUUACAAAACCACCUACACGCGCUUUACGCCCAAUAAUUCCGGACAACGUUCGCCCCCUACGUAUUACCGCGGCUGCUGGCACGUAGUUAGCCGGGGCUUCCUCUGCAGGUACCGUCAAUAUCUUCCCUGCUGACAGGGCUUUAAGACCCGAAAGCCUUCAUCACCCACGCGGCGUCGCUCCGUCAGGCUUUCGCCCAUUGCGGAAAAUUCCUCACUGCAGCCCCCCGUAGG